CACAUGUUCUCAAGGUUGGGCUGUUCUUUAUAACAGCGACACUCAGUCGCUUUCCAAGCCAUUCCUCAUUCUUCGUCUUUUUGGUCCUUUCACUCAGCAGUCGGAGGGAGGGGAUCGUCUUCCAGGUCAGCAAGAUGCAUAAAAAUGCAUGUUACCAGCAACUAAUGGAGCGUCCAAAAAGAGAUGGUGCUUUAAAACAAGAAUGCCACAAUAAUGGGUAGGAGGCUUUCUUCAAGGUCUAAAUAACUUUAUCUUAAUAUCCAGAUUUGCCU